rnacentral:rRNA from 1 species
GGUGAAAAGCACCCCGGAAGGGGAGUGAAAUAGAACCUGAAACCGUGUGCUUACAAGUAGUCAGAGCCCGUUAAUGGGUGAUGGCGUGCCUUUUGUAGAAUGAACCGGCGAGUUACGAUUUGAUGCAAGGUUAAGCAGUAAAUGUGGAGCCGUAGCGAAAGCGAGUCUGAAUAGGGCGUUUAGUAUUUGGUCGUAGACCCGAAACCAGGUGAUCUACCCUUGGUCAGGUUGAAGUUCAGGUAACACUGAAUGGAGGACCGAACCGACUUACGUUGAAAAGUGAGCGGAUGAACUGAGGGUAGCGGAGAAAUUCCAAUCGAACCUGGAGAUAGCUGGUUCUCUCCGAAAUAGCUUUAGGGCUAGCCUCAAGUGAUGAUUAUUGGAGGUAGAGCACUGUUUGGACGAGGGGCCCCUCUCGGGUUACCGAAUUCAGACAAACUCCGAAUGCCAAUUAAUUUAACUUGGGAGUCAGAACAUGGGUGAUAAGGUCCGUGUUCGAAAGGGAAACAGCCCAGACCACCAGCUAAGGUCCCAAAAUAUA